rnacentral:rRNA from 1 species
AACGAACGCUGGCGGCAGGCCUAAUACAUGCAAGUCGAACGGGCGUAGCAAUACGUCAGUGGCGGACGGGUGAGUAACACGUGGGAACAUGCCUUUCGGUUCGGAAUAACGCACGGGAAAACUUGCGCUAAUACCGGAUGACCCGGCGACCGAAAAGAUUUAUCGCCGAAAGAUUGGCCCGCGUAGGAUUAGCUAGUUGGUGAGGUAACGGCCCACCAAGGCGACGAUCCUUAGCUGGUUUGAGAGAACGAUCAGCCACACUGGGACUGAGACACGGCCCAGACUCCUACGGGAGGCAGCAGUAGGGAAUCUUGGACAAUGGGGAAACCCGUGAUCCAGCCAUGCCGCGUGAGU